rnacentral:rRNA from 1 species
UGGGGAAUUUUGCACAAUGGGGGAAACCCUGAUGCAGCGACGCCGCGUGAUUUAGAAGGCCUUCGGGUUGUAAAAAUCUUUUCUAUGGGAAGAAAAUGACAGUACCAUAGGAAUAAGGACCGGCUAAUUACGUGCCAGCAGCCGCGGUAAUACGUAAGGUCCGAGCGUUGUCCGGAAUCAUUGGGCGUAAAGGGUACGUAGGCGGGUAAGCAAGUUGGAAGUGAAAUCCUAUAGCUCAACUAUAGUAAGCUUUUAAAACUGCGCAUCUUGAGGUAUGGAAGGGAAAGUGGAAUUCCUAGUGGAGCGGUGAAAUACGCAGAUAUUAGGAGGAAUACCGGUGGCGAAGGCGACUUUCUGGCCAUAACCUGACGCUGAGGUACGAAAGCGUGGGUAGCAAACAGGA